rnacentral:rRNA from 1 species
GGAGGUAGUGACAAUAAAUCACAAUGCGGAACUAUUAGUUUUGCAAUUGGAUUGAGAACAAUGUACAAAUGUUAUCGAUAAACAAUUGGAGGGCAAGUCUGGUGCCAGCAGCCGCGGUAAUUCCAGCUCCAAUAGCGUAUAUUAACGUUGUUGCAGUUAAAAAGCUCGUAGUUGAAUUGAAGUGAACUUGGGUUGAUGUGAUCUUCGGAUGACAUGAAUCAAAGUUGACUCUUUCCAAAGUCAAUACAUUGGUAUUCAUUUAUCUUUGUAUUGUGUUUGGUCAUUUACUGUGAGGAAAUUAGAGUGUUCAAAGCAGACGUUUGUUUGAAUACAUUAGCAUGGAAUAAUCAUAUAUGGCUUUCAUGUUGAUUUGAUUGGUUUGAAUAUGGAAGCAAGAUUAAAAGGGACAGUUGGGGGUAUUCAUAUUCAAUAGUCAGAGGUGAAAUUCUGGGAUUUAUGGAAGAUGAACAAGUGCGAAAGCA